rnacentral:lncRNA from 1 species
AUCUACAAAAACUCCUUCAUGGUCAAAUUGAAAUUGAAAACCCUUCUUAAACAUUUCCAAUUUUAUAAGUAAAUCGAAAUACAAUCGGUUCUUAAGCCUUCCACUCACUUUGGAUCUUAAUUACAACAAACUGACUCUGUCUAUUUUGGCAGAGUUUGAGAAUAUGAGGAUGCUUCGCUUCGCACGAUGAACUUGAGAAACUACACUCUAUCUGGAGAUAUCCCCAAAGCUGUUUCCAAGAUUAUAAAAAAAAAAAUUCAAAAUUUGGGUGCCAGCAGUUAGUAUCGAAAGCCUGACCUCCAACAACUAUGACUUAUUUUACGAAUCCACUGUAGUAAAAAUGCAAAUUGUUAUCUAUUUGCAUAAACAACAUAUUUAGAUGCAUCAAAACUAUAUAUAAAAAAAUAUAUAUAUAUAUAUUUAUUAAAGAGCCGACAUUUUCUUUUUCAUUUCUGUUCGUCUCCUCUUUACAGAACCCUAACUAAGCCAAGCACCGCCGUCACCUCCAUCUUUUCUCUAUAUCCAUGGAGCGUACGGAGCUUGCUGUUGAGGAGAACAACGAUCUGCCUCGUCCGCCGCCAUCUUGUUGUUGAGGAGAACAACGAUCUUGUAGUUCGAUAUGAUUUCGAAAAAUCAGAAUCUCUCUACAUGGUAUCUUCUGUUCCAUUUUUAUGCGAUUUCCUUAUUUCUCUGGUCUCACAGUUCCUUCCAUAUUAGUCUUUCUUAAACUUUUCGUUGAUACGGAGUAAUUACGACCAUUAGAUUAAUUGUGUGGCUUCAUCAACAUGAACAUGAUUAUCAUCAGAAUUAUAUAACUGAGUCUGAUGAUGAUAAUCGUGUUUGAAAAAUGCCACUUCUGCUUAUUUUAGACUAUAGUUUUUAUUCUCGUUAGGGGAUCUGAUCCUUUAGUUAGUUUGGAGCUUGAUUCUAGUGGAUUCUCCCCUUUUUGCAUUUGUUUCUCUUGCUGUUCCAGUUGUGUUUUUCUAGCCCUUUCGGGUUUUUUUUUUUGUUUUUUUUUUUUGCGAAAGAAGAACUCAUUGAUAACAAUUAAGAGGAUACAACCAUGUCAUCAUUUACAAUUGAUUCCAGCCAGAAGGGAACCUCUUCAACCAUGUCAUCGUUUAUUAAUGCACUGAUUUUGAAAAGAAAAAAAAAACUUUAGCAGUACUAUACAACCUAAAUGCUAUUUGCUUUGUAAGAAUAAACUUCUAUGAAAUGAAAGAGUUUCGCGGGAAUUGUCUUGAUCAUCGGAUAAGGAGAGAGAGGGUGGUUCCCUAAAAAACUGUUUUAAAAAACCUCGAAUGACAAUUAAAUUAGUCAUGCAAGAUGCUUAUGAUAGGAUUAAUUGGAAUGAUCUCUUUACUUGUGAAAUUUGGUUUUCAACAAACUUGGAUUAACGUGAUUAGAGAACUGUUUCUUAUUCAAAUUUAAUCAAUGGUAAACCUUAUGAAAAUAUUACACCUAGGGGUGGGCACUCAAACUGGAAAUCCGAGCCGAACCACACCGAACCAAACCGGAAAAAAACCGAGUUGAUCAAAAAGUCAAAAACCGAUCAAAAAUCGAACCGGACCGGUUUGGAUCGAUUUCGGAUCCGGUUCCAUGUCUUCAAAAACCAAACCGGGCCGAACCGAACCAGUGAAACUAAAAAAAUAUAUAGUUACAAUAUAUAUUUAUAUUUAAUGCUAUAUUUUUAAUUUCAUUAAAAAAAAACCUAAGAUUUAUCCAAGUUCAAUGUCAAAAUAUCUCUCUUUUCUCACUUUAAUAUUUAUUUUUUAUAUGAAAUUGAAUAAUUUGUUAAUUUUCAAGUAAAAAAAUAAUAUUUCAGUUGAGAAUUGUAUUAAAAAAUAAUUUAAAAAAAUAAUUUUUAUAAUCCGGUUCAAAAUCGAAUCGGAACUGGAACCGGACCGAAACCGGUUCAAACCGAACAGGACAGUUUUUGAAAUUUUUUUUAUUAAAAUCGAACCGAAUCAAACUGGAUGAAUAGUAUCGGAUCGGUUCUAAUUUGAGACAAAAACCGGUCCAAAUCGAACCGUGCCCACCCCUAAUUACACCUUCUAGAGGAUUAAGAC